rnacentral:rRNA from 1 species
UGUAGUCAUAUGCUUGUCUCAAAGAUUAAGCCAUGCAUGUCUAAGUAUAAGCAAUUAUACAGCGAAACUGCGAAUGGCUCAUUAUAUAAGUUAUCGUUUAUUUGAUAGUACCUUACUACAUGGAUAACCGUGGUAAUUCUAGAGCUAAUACAUGCUAAAAAUCCCAACUUCGGAAGGGAUGUAUUUAUUAGAUUAAAAACCAAUGCCCUCCGGGGCUCACUGGUGAUUCAUAAUAACUUCUCGAAUCGCAUGGCCUUGCGCCGGCGAUGGUUCAUUCAAAUUUCUUCCCUAUCAACUUUCGAUGUUUGGGUAUUGGCCAAACAUGGUUGCAACGGGUAACGGGGAAUGGGGCGGGGGCGGCGGGCCGGGCGCGGGGCGCGGCGGGCGGCA